rnacentral:rRNA from 1 species
UCUAGUGGCGCACGGGUGCGUAACGCGUGGGAAUUUGCCCUUAGGUACGGAAUAACAGUGAGAAAUUACUGCUAAUACCGUAUGAUGUCUUCGGACCAAAGAUUUAUCGCCUAGGGAUGAGCCCGCGUUGGAUUAGCUAGUUGGUGGGGUAAAGGCCUACCAAGGCGACGAUCCAUAGCUGGUCUGAGAGGAUGAUCAGCCACACUGGGACUGAGACACGGCCCAGACUCCUACGGGAGGCAGCAGUGGGGAAUAUUGGACAAUGGGCGAAAGCCUGAUCCAGCAAUGCCGCGUGAGUGAAGAAGGCCUUAGGGUUGUAAAGCUCUUUUACCCGGGAAGAUAAUGACUGUACCGGGAGAAUAAGCCCCGGCUAACUCCGUGCCAGCAGCCGCGGUAAUACGGAGGGGGCUAGCGUUGUUCGGAAUUACUGGGCGUAAAGCGUCCGUAGGCGGCUUGCCAAGUCAGAGGUGAAAUCCCACGACUCAAUCGUGGAACUGCCUUUGAGACUGGUUCGCUUGAAGAUGGGAGAGGUUAGUGGAAUUCCGAGUGUAGAGGUGAAAUUCGUAGAUAUUCGGAAGAACACCAGUGGCGAAGGCGGCUAACUGGACCAUUCU